rnacentral:rRNA from 1 species
GAUGAACGCUAGCGACAGGCCUAACACAUGCAAGUCGAGGGGUAGCAGGAUGUAGCAAUACAUCGCUGACGACCGGCGCACGGGUGAGUAACGCGUAUGCAACCUACCUUCUACAGGGGGAUAGCCCGGAGAAAUCCGGAUUAAUACCCCAUAAAACAGGGACUCCGCAUGGAGAUAUUUGUUAAAGAUUAAUCGGUAGAAGAUGGGCAUGCGUUCCGUUAGCCAGUUGGUGAGGUAACGGCUCACCAAAGCAACGAUGGAUAGGGGAACGGAGAGGUUUAUCCCCACACUGGAACUGAGACACGGACCAGACUCCUACGGGAGGCAGCAGUGAGGAAUAUUGGUCAAUGGGCGCGAGCCUGAACCAGCCAAGUCGCGUGAAGGAAGACUGCCUUAUGGAUUGUAAACUUCUUUUAUAUGAGAAUAAAAAGAGUUACGUGCAACUUAUUGCAGGUAUCAUAUGAAUAAGCAUCGGCUAACUCCGUGCCAGCAGCCGCCGUAA